UACGGAGGGUGCAAGCGUUAUCCGGAUUCACUGGGUUUAAAGGGUGCGUAGGUGGGCAGUUAAGUCAGUGGUGAAAUCUCCGGGCUUAACCCGGAAACUGCCAUUGAUACUAUCUGUCUUGAAUAUCGUGGAGGUAAGCGGAAUAUGUCAUGUAGCGGUGAAAUGCUUAGAUAUGACAUAGAACACCAAUUGCGAAGGCAGCUUACUAAGCUUUAACUGACGCUGAGGCACGAAAGUGUGGGGAUCAAACAGG
rnacentral:rRNA from 1 species